GCGGGUCCGGAGAGAACUCGAGAGUGCAGAGAUGAGGGCCGGGUCCAGCGAAAAAUCCGACGGUCCAGAGGGCGGGGGCAAGAGGCGAGGGGCUGGAUUGCGGCCCCGUGCGUCCUGACUGGGGGGUCUUUUGGAGGAAAAGGGACGUGGCGAUGGUCAUUGAUGCAAGGGGCGGGGCCUCCGUGGCCUCCUUCUUCUCACCCUGCCUCCUCCUCACAGUGUAAACUGGAGUUGCUGGUGGGCAGCCCUGCUUCCUGCAUGGAACUGGAGCUGUAUGGAGUUGACGACAAGUUCUACAGCAAGCUGGAUCAAGAGGAUGCGCUCCUGGGCUCCUACCCUGUAGAUGACGGCUGCCGCAUCCACAAAUUAGCUGGGCGUGGUGGCAGAUGCCUGUAAUCCUAGCUACUCAGGAGGCUGAGGCAGGAGGAUCACUUGAACCCAGGAGCUGGAAGUUGCAGUGAGCUGAGAUCACACCACUGCACUCCAGUUUGGAUGAUAGAGUCAUUGACCACAGUGGCGCCCGCCUUGGUGAGUAUGAGGACGUGUCCCGGGUGGAGAAGUACACGAUCUCACAAGAAGCCUACGACCAGAGGCAAG
rnacentral:lncRNA from 10 species